rnacentral:rRNA from 1 species
UACGGAGGGAGCUAGCGUUGUUCGGAAUUACUGGGCGUAAAGCGCGCGUAGGCGGCUUUGUAAGUUAGAGGUGAAAGCCCAGGGCUCAACCCUGGAAUUGCCUUUAAGACUGCAUCGCUCGAAUUGUGGAGAGGUGAGUGGAAUUCCGAGUGUAGAGGUGAAAUUCGUAGAUAUUGGGAAGAACACCGGUGGCGAAGGCGGCUCACUGGCUCGUAACUGACGCUCAUGCACGACAGCGUGGGGAGCAAACAGG